rnacentral:rRNA from 1 species
UAAUCGUUUUAAUCGAUGGGGGGACGCAGUAGGAUAGGCGAAGCGUGCGAUUGGAUUGCACGUCUAAGCAGUAAGGCUGAGUAUUAGGCAAAUCCGGUACUCGUUAAGGCUGAGCUGUGAUGGGGAGAAGACAUUGUGUCUUCGAGUCGUUGAUUUCACACUGCCGAGAAAAGCCUCUAGAUAGAAAAUAGGUGCCCGUACCGCAAACCGACACAGGUAGUCAAGAUGAGAAUUCUAAGGUGAGCGAGCGAACUCUCGUUAAGGAACUCGGCAAAAUGACCCCGUAACUUCGGGAGAAGGGGUGCUCUUUAGGGUUAACGCCCAGAAGAGCCGCAGUGAAUAGGCCCAAGCGACUGUUUAUCAAAAACACAGGUCUCUGCUAAACCGUAAGGUGAUGUAUAGGGGCUGACGCCUGCCCGGUGCUGGAAGGUUAAGAGGAGUGGUUAGCUUCUGCGAAGCUACGAAUCGAAGCCCCAGUAAACGGCGGCCGUAACUAUAACGGUCCUAAGGUAGCGAAAUUCCUUGUCGGGUAAGUUCCGACCCGCACGAAAGGCGUAACGAUUUGGGCACUGUCUCAACGAGAGACUCGGUGAAAUCAUAGUACCUGUGAAGAUGCAGGUUACCCGCGACAGGACGGAAAGACCCCGUGGAGCUUUACUGUAGCCUGAUAUUGAAAUUCGGCACAGCUUGUACAGGAUAGGUA